rnacentral:rRNA from 1 species
AAAUUGAAGAGUUUGAUCAUGGCUCAGAUUGAACGCUGGCGGCAGGCCUAACACAUGCAAGUCGAACGGUAACAGGAAGCAGCUUGCUGCUUCGCUGACGAGUGGCGGACGGGUGAGUAAUGUCUGGGAAACUGCCUGAUGGAGGGGGAUAACUACUGGAAACGGUGGCUAAUACCGCAUAACGUCGCAAGACCAAAGAGGGGGACCUUCGGGCCUCUUGCCAUCAGAUGUGCCCAGAUGGGAUUAGCUGGUAGGUGGGGUAACGGCUCACCUAGGCGACGAUCCCUAGCUGGUCUGAGAGGAUGACCAGCCACACUGGAACUGAGACACGGUCCAGACUCCUACGGGAGGCAGCAGUGGGGAAUAUUGCACAAUGGGCGCAAGCCUGAUGCAGCCAUGCCGCGUGUAUGAAGAAGGCCUUCGGGUUGUAAAGUACUUUCAGCGGGGAGGAAGGUGUUGUGGUUAAUAACCGCAGCAAUUGACGUUACCCGCAGAAGAAGCACCGGCUAACUCCGUGCCAGCAGCCGCGGUAAUACGGAGGGUGCAAGCGUUAAUCGGAAUUACUGGGCGUAAAGCGCACGCAGGCGGUCUGUCAAGUCGGAUGUGAAAUCCCCGGGCUCAACCUGGGAACUGCAUUCGAAACU